rnacentral:rRNA from 1 species
AGUGAACGCUGGCGGCGUGCCUAAUACAUGCAAGUAGAACGAAGUGGCGCACGGGUGAGUAAUACAUAGUUAACUGCCCUACACAGAGGAACAACAGUUGGAAACGACUGCUAAUACAUCAUAGGAUGAGACUAUAGCUUAUCAGCUAGUUGGUAAGGUAAUGGCUUACCAAGGCUAUGACGCGUAACUGGGCUGAGAGGAUGAUCAGUCACAUUGGAACUGGGCAACGGUCCAGACUCCUACGGGAGGCAGCAGUAGGGAAUCUUCGGCAAUGGACGGAAGUCUGACCGAGCAACGCCGCGUGAGUGAAGAAGGUUUUCGGAUCGUAAAGCUCUGUUGUUAGAGAAGCGGUAACUAACCAGAAAGGGACGGCUAACUACGUGCCAGCCGCCGCGGUAAUUC